rnacentral:rRNA from 1 species
GAUUCUGGCUCAGGAUGAACGCUAGCUACAGGCUUAACACAUGCAAGUCGAGCGGAACACCUUCGGGUGUUAGCGGCAGACGGGUGAGUAACACGUAUCCAACCUUUCCCUUACUCGGGUAUAGCCUCGGGAAACUGAGAGUAAUCCCCGAUGAAGUGUACGAGGAGCAUUUUUUGCACACCAAAGAUUUAUCGGUGAGGGGUGGGGAUGCGUUCCAUUAGGUAGUAGGCGGGGCAACGGCCCACCUAGCCGAUGAUGGAUAGGGGUUCUGAGAGGAAGGUCCCCCACAUUGGAACUGCGACACGGUCCAAACUCCUACGGGAGGCAGCAGUGAGGAAUAUUGGUCAAUGGUCGGAAGACUGAACCAGCCAAGUAGCGUGCAGGAAUGACGGCCCUAUGGGUUGUAAACUGCUUUUGUGCGGGAAUAACGUGGUCCACGUGUGGGUCAGUGCAUGUACCGUACGAAUAAGGAUCGGCUAACUCCGUGCCAGCCGCUGC